CGGACGGGUGAGUAAUGCUUAGGAAUCUGCCUAUUAGUGGGGGACAACAUCUCGAAAGGGAUGCUAAUACCGCAUACGUCCUACGGGAGAAAGCAGGGGAUCUUCGGACCUUGCGCUAAUAGAUGAGCCUAAGUCGGAUUAGCUAGUUGGUGGGGUAAAGGCCUACCAAGGCGACGAUCUGUAGCGGGUCUGAGAGGAUGAUCCGCCACACUGGGACUGAGACACGGCCCAGACUCCUACGGGAGGCAGCAGUGGGGAAUAUUGGACAAUGGGGGGAACCCUGAUCCAGCCAUGCCGCGUGUGUGAAGAAGGCCUUAUGGUUGUAAAGCACUUUAAGCGAGGAGGAGGCUACUCUAGUUAAUACCUAGGGAUAGUGGACGUUACUCGCAGAAUAAGCACCGGCUAACUCUGUGCCAGCAGCCGCGGUAAUACAGAGGGUGCGAGCGUUAAUCGGAUUUACUGGGCGUAAAGCGUGCGUAGGCGGCUUAUUAAGUCGGAUGUGAAAUCCCCGAGCUUAACUUGGGAAUUGCAUUCGAUACUGGUGAGCUAGAGUAUGGGAGAGGAUGGUAGAAUUCCAGGUGUAGCGGUGAAAUGCGUAGAGAUCUGGAGGAAUACCGAUGGCGAAGGCAGCCAUCUGGCCUAAUACUGACGCUGAGGUACGAAAG
rnacentral:rRNA from 1 species